rnacentral:rRNA from 1 species
GCUCCCUGAUGUUAGCGGCGGACGGGUGAGUAACACGUGGGUAACCUGCCUGUAAGACUGGGAUAACUCCGGGAAACCGGGGCUAAUACCGGAUGGUUGUUUGAACCGCAUGGUUCAAACAUAAAAGGUGGCUUCGGCUACCACUUACAGAUGGACCCGCGGCGCAUUAGCUAGUUGGUGAGGUAACGGCUCACCAAGGCAACGAUGCGUAGCCGACCUGAGAGGGUGAUCGGCCACACUGGGACUGAGACACGGCCCAGACUCCUACGGGAGGCAGCAGUAGGGAAUCUUCCGCAAUGGACGAAAGUCUGACGGAGCAACGCCGCGUGAGUGAUGAAGGUUUUCGGAUCGUAAAGCUCUGUUGUUAGGGAAGAACAAGUACCGUUCGAAUAGGGCGGUACCUUGACGGUACCUAACCAGAAAGCCACGGCUAACUACGUGCCAGCAGCCGCGGUAAUACGUAGGUGGCAAGCGUUGUCCGGAAUUAUUGGGCGUAAAGGGCUCGCAGGCGGUUUCUUAAGUCUGAUGUGAAAGCCCCCGGCUCAACCGGGGAGGGUCAUUGGAAACUGGGGAACUUGAGUGCAGAAGAGGAGAGUGGAAUUCCACGUGUAGCGGUGAAAUGCGUAGAGAUGUGGAGGAACACCAGUGGCGAAGGCGACUCUCUGGUCUGUAACUGACGCUGAGGAGCGAAAGCGUGGGG